rnacentral:rRNA from 1 species
CAGCCGCCGCGGUAAAACGUAGGUGGCAAGCGUUGUCCGGAAUUAUUGGGAGUAAAGGGCUCGCAGGCGGUUUCUUAAGUCUGAUGUGAAAGCCCCCGGCUCAACCGGGGAGGGUCAUUGGAAACUGGGAAACUUGAGUGCAGAAGAGGAGAGUGGAAUUCCACGUGUAGCGGUGAAAUGCGUAGAGAUGUGGAGGAACACCAGUGGCGAAGGCGACUCUCUGGUCUGUAACUGACGCUGAGGAGCGAAAGCGUGGGGAGCGAACAGGAUUAGAUACCCGAGUAGUCCCUGUCUCUUAUAC